ACGGCCUAAAAUUGAAUCAACAUAAUCAGCCCAUUGGAAGGCUUUUCCUACUCCCAAUAAACCAAAUGCGCGUGGUUGCACUUCCCCAAAAAUCAGUCGUCACUUCUCCUUCUCUUUCCCCGAAAUAGCAACCUUUCCUCCACCCCACACCCCUCAACCCCACCCCCAAAAACUAAACCCUAGCAGACAAGCUUCAACCACCUUCUGUGCGAUCCAUCUCCCCUACCCUGAAAAUCCGCCAAAUCCACUAUAGCUACGAAAACAGGCACUAUUUUGGGUGCAAAAAUUUAAAAUCGCCAUUAAUGGCCUGAAAAAUCAAAGAUCUAUUUCAGAGUUCUUGUCAAAUUUCAAAUCAAUUUUUUUCUCAUGUUUUGUUUAAUUCGAGUUUCAAAUCCGGACUUUCAUUCGCCUAUAAAUAUGGGUCCUCAUAAUCUCUGGGAGGGGAACAAGAAAAGUAGGAAGGAAAAAGAGAGAGAGAAGAGAUAGGUAAAAAAAGUGAAAAAUAGGGGAUUUUUGGACAUCCAAGCUCGAAACUAAAGGGUAACUCUUAAAAUCAGCGAAAUCUUGCGGGAAUCAUAAGCAAAGUCGUGAAAACUGUGGAUUGCACCGUAUGCAUUUUGCAAGAAAAUUGCAUGUGGAGAUUGUAAAUGUAUGUGCAUGGUUUGUGGAAAACUGAAUUCAGUAAAAUCUUAUUAUGAAGUUAUUGGAAUGGGUUGGAACUUUGAGGAGGGAUCUGGGAUCCAGGAUGUAGCCAUGCCCUUUUAGAUUAAUAUGGUGUAAAGUUAUUUUUGGUUUGAAAAUUUUAGAAGAUUCAAUCCAUUUGGGCAAGAGUUUAUCUUUGGGUUUUGUCGUUACAUACAUUUUUUUUCUCCCGGUGAGUAAACAUUUUAUGAAGUUGGAAUAUUUUAAAACAAGUUUACAUGCCCAGAUUCCAUGUUGUGUCUUUUUGUUAACGCAUUUGUUUAUGUGAUCUCACCUUAAUAUUUUCAACCUUUUCUCUAUUUGAUGUUUUUCUAAUCCUUAUCCUUUAUUUUUACAUGUGAACCUUGGGACUUGGAGUUCCGCGACGGAACUCAUCUUGACCCAAGCAUUGGGUCAAUUCCUACUAGGAGCACAGAGCCUCGGAGUCCCGCAAAAUUGCGAGCCUAAAACUCCUAAACGGAACCUAACUUUCUUAUUGUUUUUAGAUCUAAUUUAUCUUGAUCGCAUUGAGUUUUGUUUAAACACUUGUUGUCUAUGUUGUUUAAGGGAGCUUUAUUUUAUUCUCGAAUUUAUGUUGUUAUGUGGCUAGUAGAUCCUUUUACAUGGUUUUAA